GAAAGAAUUAAGAACUGCUAACUCUUUAUACCAUGCCUAAAACCAUGGCUUCCUUA
rnacentral:tRNA from 1 species